rnacentral:misc_RNA from 1 species
AAGUCGUAACAAGGUUUCCGUAGGUGAACCUGCGGAAGGAUCAUUAAAAAUGGAGUAAUCCAUAAUAUUGUUGUGCCACUUAUAAAAUGUAAAUUUUAGGUUUACAUUUUUUUUUUAUAAAUUCAUUUUACAAUAGUUUUAUAAUUUAAUACAACUGUUGGCAAUGGAUCACUUGGUUCUG